UAUCUCUGUAGAGUCUGCAUAUCAAUAAGCGGAGGAAAAGAAACUAACUAGGAUUCCCUCAGUAACGGCGAGUGAAGCGGGAAGAGCUCAAAUUUGAAAUCUUCAAGGUUUUACCUUGACGAAUUGUAGUUUAAAGAAGUGUUUUCUGUUGGAGUUUUGGUAAAAGUUCUUUGGAAUAGGACAUCAUAGAGGGUGAGAAUCCCGUAUUUGACCAUUAUUUCCAGCUUUGUGAUACACUUUCAAAGAGUCGGAUUGUUUGGGAAUGCAGUCCAAAAUGGGUGGUAAAUUUCAUCUAAAGCUAAAUACUGGCGAGAGACCGAUAGCGAACAAGUACCGUGAGGGAAAGGAUGAAAAGAACUUUGAAAAGAGAGUUAAACAGUACGUGAAAUUGUCAAAAGGGAAGCGUUUGACACCAGUGUUGUUUUCUACGAAAAUCAAUUAAAUGGCUGGAUUUGUUGUAAGCUUAAGACUUUAUCAGCUUGUCUGCUAGCUCUUUCCUGUCUUUGUGAAUGCACUUUUCGUUGAACAAGUCAACAUCAAUUUCUUUUGUUGUAAAAGGGUCAUUGGAAGGUGGCUUUCUUUUCGGAGAAAGUGUUUAUAGCCUUUGGCCUCUGCAAUCGGAGAGAUUGAGGUCUGCAGCGUAGAUCCUUCGGGGUUAGAUACAUUUGUGCUAAGUUAUAGCCUUUCAUAGACAACUUGUUGACUAUGAUCAGUCAUGUAGCUUACUCGCUUAUGCUAUUUUACCUACGCUUAGGAUGUUGAGUCAUCACACAUCUCU
rnacentral:rRNA from 1 species